rnacentral:rRNA from 1 species
GACGUAGGGGACGAGCGUUGUCCGGAUUCAUUGGGCGUAAAGCGCGCGUAGGCGGUUUGGUAAGUCGGAUGUGAAAACCAGAGGCUCAACCUCUGGCCUGCAUCCGAUACUGCCCGACUAGAGGUAGGUAGGGGGAGAUCGGAAUUCCUGGUGUAGCGGUGAAAUGCGUAGAUAUCAGGAGGAACACCGGUGGCGAAGGCGGGACUCUCGUCGGACCGGUGACUGACGCUGAGAGACGAAAGCGUGGGGGAGCAAACAGG